rnacentral:lncRNA from 1 species
UCAUAUAUUGUAUGUAUUUUUAAUUUGGUACAUACUCUGUUGAUUUCAAAGGUAUUUUUAAUAUUCAGAGGUAUGCAUGCAUUAUUUUGUUCCCCUUUUAAUAUAUAUAUUUUUUUGAAACGUUCUCUCCUUGACUAAUAGAGAAUAAAUCCUUGAAUUUUUUCAUUUUGUUUGCAGAUCAUUUUAGUUUCUGUUUUUUGAAGCCAUUUUGCAUCACUCAAUAUAAUACAGGUAAGAGGUCCAAACUCUUCAUUGUUUUGACCAUUUUUUAAUAUGUCUGCUUGGUAAGCGUGUGUCUAUUUGAUGCAACA